rnacentral:rRNA from 1 species
AUUGAACGCUGGCGGCAGGCCUAACACAUGCAAGUCGAGCGAACGGCGGACGGGUGAGUAAUGCCUAUGAAGCUGCCUGGUAGUGGGGGAUAACGACCGGAAACGGGCGCUAAUAACGCAUGCAUUCCGUUGAGCCUAGGCCGGAUUAGUUAGCUGGUGGGGUAAUGGCCUACCAAGGCGACGAUCCCUAGCUGGUCUGAGAGGAUGAUCAGCCACACUGGGACUGAGACACGGCCCAGACUCCUACGGGAGGCAGCAGUGGGGAAUAUUGCACAAUGGGCGCAAGCCUGAUGCAGCCAUGCCGCGUGUAUGAAGAAGGCCUUCGGGUUGUAAAGUACUUUCAGCGGGGAGGCGUUACCCGCAGAAGAAGCACCGGCUAACUCCGUGCCAGCAGCCGCGGUAAUAC